GACGAACGCUGGCGGUGUGCUUAACACAUGCAAGUCGAACGGUAAGGCCCUUUCGGGGGUCCACGAGUGGCGAACGGGUGAGUAACACGCGAGUAACCUACCCUCCUCUCUGGGAUAACUGUCGUAAACGGUUUCUAACACUUGAUAUGUGCUUGCAAGGCAUCUUUUGGGUUGGAAAGAUUUUUUUUGGUUGGGGAUGGACUCGCGGCCUAUCAGCUUGUUGGUGAGGUAGUGGCUCACCAAGGGUUCGACGGGUGGCCGGCCUGUGAGGGCGACCGGGGACAUUGGGGGUGAGAGACGGGCCAAACUCCUACGGGAGGCGGCGGAGGGGAGUAUAGCACAAUGGACGGGAGACUGAGGCAGCGACGCCGCGUGCGGGAUGACGGCGUUCGGGUGGUAAACCGCUUUCAAGUGUGACGAAGCGUGUUUGUGACGGUAGCGGUAAAAGAAGCACCGGCUAACUACGUG
rnacentral:rRNA from 1 species